rnacentral:rRNA from 1 species
UACGUAGGGGGCAAGCGUUGUCCGGAAUCAUUGGGCGUAAAGAGCGUGUAGGCGGUUCGGUAAGUCGGCUGUGAAAGUCCAGGGCUCAACCCUGGGAUGCCGGUCGAUACUGCCGGACUAGAGUUCGGAAGAGGCGAGUGGAAUUCCCGGUGUAGCGGUGAAAUGCGCAGAUAUCGGGAGGAACACCUAUGGCGAAGGCAGCUCGCUGGGACGUUACUGACGCUGAGACGCGAAAGCGUGGGGGAGCAAACAGG